UGAGACGGAAACUGAAGCCAUGAAGCAGCAGCUGCAAACGAGGAAACCGUCCAGUGCAUUCCAGGAAUUCCGAGCUCCUGACGAUAAUGCUUUCCUGGUUCUCUUCUCCGUCAAUCGAACGGCGAUAAGGGACCAGCCAGUCACAGCCAAAGCGACGGACCUGGCGGGCCCAGAAUUCCCAAACUGAGGGCUGGCCAGCGCCACAGUCCUCUGUUGCCAUAAACUCUGGGCGUGCUUCAGCGACCACCGUCGUGCGUGGCUGAGGGACAUUGUCUGUCUUGAGGAACGGGAGAUCCACAAGGAUUAUUGGAAGACCAUUAACAACAAGACUUUGACAAUGAAAAUGAGAGUGACAGUGAAGAGACUGAAUCUGUUGAAGAUGGGUCCAUAGAAACAUCAGUCAAAUACAGAUGUUAGAGACUGCCAGAAAUUGACCAAGCAAAGAGGCAGAUGGAUCAAGCAGCCUCCAUUUCAAAUCCUAAUCGGAAGGAAACUAACCAGAGCUGAUGAUGUGGACUUGUAUUUCCAACUGCUGGCAAGAAACGAAAAUAAACAAAUAUAAAUGAAAAUAAAAAUUUGAUGAAGAAGAGAGAGAGAGAGAGAGAGAGAGAGAGAGAGGGAGGAAAUAAUUCAAACAAUAGACAAUUUUUUGUACAAAAAGCAAUGAAAACAUUAUAUAACACUCCAUCAAAGUUUAUCUGAUACCCAAUAUUUACAGUACCUGCAGCAGCCAAACAGCAAAGGACAUACUAAGAAACAAGUUACGCCAUUGCCGACAUACUUAAUACAAAGGGCAUUUUAAUGUCCAAAUGU